CUAGCAACUAGAGGAGCAUGCGCAAAACUACUGGGGGAGGAGCACGUAACCCGAAAACUGAACAGCUUAAAAGGAACAAACUAAGGGGGGUGGGGUGCGGCAGGUAGUGGAGCAGAGACUCCUCUGUCGCCCAGUGCUGAUUUUGCUUUUGCCUUCUGUAACCAAUAAAUCUUUUAAAUUGUUAUUCGAUCUUUUAUGGCCCAUUGCGCUCAUUUAUAACAAUUUUGGCCUCGUGACUCGGAUCGAGAUUUUGGAGGGGCUCUCUGCCUGCGGGAAGGCACGCCCCACCAUUUUGGAGGGCCCAAUUGACCCCUUAAAUUUUGUGCACAAAGUCCGGACGAAGACGCAGGACACGUUCAGCCCGGGGACUGGGUACUGGUCCGAAGUUGGAAGGAAAAUCCGAUAACACCCAAGUGGGAAGGACCUUACCAGGUGUUGCUUACAACAGACACAGCGGUACGCACAGCAGAAAAAGGGUG